rnacentral:rRNA from 1 species
CAGUAGCCGCGGUAAUACAGAGGUCUCAAGCGUUGUUCGGAUUCAUUGGGCGUAAAGGGUGCGUAGGUGGCGGUGUAAGUCUAACGUGAAAUCUCGGGGCUCAACCUCGAAAUUGCGUCGGAUACUGCAUUGCUAGAGGAUUGUAGAGGAGAGUGGAAUUCAUGGUGUAGCAGUGAAAUGCGUAGAUAUCAUGAGGAAGACCAGUUGCGAAGGCGACUCUCUGGGCAAUUCCUGACACUGAGGCACGAAGGCUAGGGGAGCAAACGGGAUUAGAUACCCGAGUAGUCCCUGUCUCUUAUAC